rnacentral:miRNA from 1 species
GUUCCUUUGUAGGCGACAAGAACCCGUGCUGGUGUAUAAUAAUCGCCGUUUCUGUCUCUCACCUACAAACAG